GUUUCCCAGUCACGAUAGCGAGCGAAAAGGGAAGAGCCCAAACCGGGUCAGCGUGCUGAUCCGGGGUUAUAGGACUGCGUUUAGAAAUUGUUAUCAACCUGAAUCAUCUGGAAAGAUGAGCCAUAGCAGGUGAUAGCCCUGUAGGUGCAAAUUAACAAGGACGAGCAGUAUCCUGAGUAACGCGGGACCGGAGGAAUCUUGCGUGAAUUUGCCAGCACCAUCUGGUAAGGCUAAAUACUCCUCAGACACCGAUAGUGAACCAGUACCGUAAGGGAAAGGUGAAAAGCACCCCGAACAGGGGAGUGAAAUAGUACCUGAAACCGUGCGCCUACAAGCGGUCGGAGUCCCGAUUUAUCGGGAUGACGGCGUGCCUUUUGCAUAAUGAGCCUACGAGUUGCUCCUCACUGGCGAGGUUAAGUUCUUAUAUAACGGAGCCGAAGCGAAAGCGAGUCCAAAUAGGGCGAAUAGUCAGUGGGGGCAGACGCGAAACUUUGUGAUCUAUCCAUGGGCAGGUUGAAGGUGUGGUAACACACACUGGAGGACCGAACCCGUUGACGUUGAAAAGUCUUGGGAUGACCUGUGGAUAGGGGUGAAAGGCCAAUCAAACUGAGAGAUAGCUCGUUCUCCCCGAAAUGUUUUUAGGAACAGCGUUGCAUUAUGAAGUUUAUUAGAGGUAGAGCUACUGAUUGGGCUAGGGGGCUUCACCGCCUACCAAACCCUGACAAACUCCGAAUGCUAAUAAAUAUCUGCAGCAGUGAGGCUUUGGGCGCUAAGGUCCAGGGCCGAGAGGGAAAUAACCCAGAUUAGCAACUAAGGUCCCUAAUACGUAGUUAAGUUGAUCAAACGAGGUGGGAUUUCUAUAACAGCCAGGAUGUUGGCUUGGAAGCAGCCAUUCAUUUAAAGAGUGCGUAACAGCUCACUGGUCGAGAGAUCCUGCACGGAAAAUAAUCGGGCAUCAAACUACGAACCGAAGUUCUAAAUUCUAGCUUGCUAGAGUGGUAGGGGAGCAUUGAAAUCUGCAUCGAAGGUGUACGGCGACGUAUGCUGGAGCGAUUUCAAAAGAAAAUGUAGGCAUAAGUAACGAUAAUUAAAGUGAAAAACUUUAACGCGAAAAGUCUAAGGUUUCCUGAUCAACGUUAAUCGGAUCAGGGUUAGUCUGGUCCUUAGGAAAACCCGAAAGGGGCAUCUGAUGGAAAGAAGGUUAAUAUUCCUUCACCUACUAUGCAAUAAAAGUGACGCAGGGACGUGGUGGUUGCGUACGGACGGAAGUGUACGCCUGAGUGGAGUCUUCGGACGAAGCGAAAUCAUAAAAUCCCUGCCAAGAAAAGCGAGCAUAGCAGCCAGUACCGGAAUCCGACACAGGUAGACGGGAUGAGUAUUCUAACGCGCUCGGGUGAGCCGUGGAGAAGGAACUAGGCAAAUUGACGCUGUAACUUCGGGAUAAAGCCAACCACCUUCUGGGUGGUCUCAGUAAAAUGGUUCAACCAACUGUUUAACAAAAACACAGGGCCCUGCAAAAUCGUAAGAUGACGUAUAGAGCCUGAAACCUGCCCGGUGCUGGAAGGUUAAGGAAGGGUGUUCGGCGCAAGCCAAAGCUCCUGACUGAAGCCCCAGUAAACGGCGGCCGUAACUAUAACGGUCCUAAGGUAGCGAAAUUCCUUGUCGGGUAAGUUCCGACCUGCACGAAUGGUCUAAUGAGUUGAAAACUGUCUCCUCCAC
rnacentral:rRNA from 1 species